AUGGUUGAACUAACAGAUCCAUUGUUUUUCGCCUUCAAAGAUGGGAUUGGGCCAACGUUACUAGUCCUCGGGCAACAAGGAAUAGCAGCUAGUCAUGUUCCAGCCUUAUCUAAUAGUUAUAUUCUGAUGUGCAGCAAGGCCCCAACCAAGCCCAUGAUGGCUAGACAGUACAGCAAUGCAUCAUCAUUGGACUAUGCUGCCAUUCUUAGUUCAACAAAUCAGCAUCCUUUUGCUCACAAUUUUUUUUCACUUGGUCUCAUGUUCAUCCAGCUCUCCACUGUCACCGUUGCUGGUGACGUUGUGGUUCUGCCUUGCCUACGAAUAGUAACGUGGCUGGGGUUCUGGCAUGGCGUGCCUGAUGUUGCCCGUGCUCCCGUUCCUAUGCCCGUGAAGUUGUACGGCUGCUUCGAUCAUAUCCAUUGUUUUUUCGCUUUCAAAGACGGGAUUGGGCUAACAUUACUAGUCCUCGGGCAACAACGAAUAGCAGGUGUAAGCCAUCACAGUCUUCUGUUUUCCAAAACAGCAGUCUUGCCUUCGUUGAGUGAGUAUGAGCUCUGGACAGGUAGUCAUGUUCCAGCCUUAUUUUAUAGUUAUGAUGUUCUUGUGUGCAGCGAUGCCCCAACCAAGCCCAUGAUGGCCAGACAGUACAAUAAUGCAUCCUCACUGGACUAUGUCACCAAUCUUUAG
rnacentral:rRNA from 1 species